rnacentral:tRNA from 1 species
GGAGAAAUGGCAGAGCGGUCGAAUGCGGCGGUCUUGAAAACCGUUGAACUGAAAGGUUCCGGGGGUUCGAAUCCCUCUUUCUCCGCCA